rnacentral:rRNA from 1 species
AGUGAACGCUGGCGGUAGGCCUAACACAUGCAAGUCGAACGGCAGCACAGUAAGAGCUUGCUCUUACGGGUGGCGAGUGGCGGACGGGUGAGGAAUACAUCGGAAUCUACUUUUUCGUGGGGGAUAACGUAGGGAAACUUACGCUAAUACCGCAUACGACCUACGGGUGAAAGCAGGGGAUCUUCGGACCUUGCGCGAUUGAAUGAGCCGAUGUCGGAUUAGCUAGUUGGCGGGGUAAAGGCCCACCAAGGCGACGAUCCGUAGCUGGUCUGAGAGGAUGAUCAGCCACACUGGAACUGAGACACGGUCCAGACUCCUACGGGAGGCAGCAGUGGGGAAUAUUGGGCAAUGGGCGCAAGCCUGAUCCAGCCAUACCGCGUUGGUGAAGAAGGCCUUCGGGUUGUAAAGCCCUUUUGUUGGGAAAGAAAAGCAGCAGGUUAAUACCCCGCUGUUCUGACGGUACCCAAAGAAUAAGCACCGGCUAACUUCGUG